rnacentral:lncRNA from 1 species
CUCCAUACAUUUUUAUAUAUAAAUAACAAAAAACUUCAAAGACCAUCCCUAUAGUUUCACACUUUCUCACUUUAGUACCAUGUGGUUUAAAGUAUAUCAAUUUAGUGCCCUAUAGUUUAUUUUUCUUUUUUUAUUAUCAAUUUCAUUAAUUUUUUUUUUCUUAAAUUAGUGACAAAGUUAAAACUAAAGGGUACUAAAGUGAAUAUUCGAUAAACAUAGGUGGGUAUCUGAAGGAUUUUGUAUAUAAUUUAACGAAAUAUUAACGAAGAAACUGACGAAAAUAAAAAAAUAAAACCACUUUAAAUCACAAGGUAUUAAAGUGAGAAAGUGCCAAACCACGGAUGGUUUUUGAAGUUUAUCCUAUAAACAAUUAACCUCCAAUAAUUCGUUCUAUUUC